AGCAUCCCCAUGGUAACAAAGUAGACACUGAAUUUCCAAAACCUCCUUUUCCACCUUCUGGGUAAGUUUUCCUUUUCUUCUGAAGGUUGCACAGAACAUACGUCUUGCAAGCUAUCUGUCAAUGCAAUCAUCUUUGAAGCCACAGGUUCCUCCUUCCCAUGGGAGUGGUCAUCCGUUGUCGCCUCCUUUGAUGCAUUUGAAUUCCUUGCAGAAUCAAUUGCACCACUAGGUACCCUCUGGAUUUCAUUCUGAUCAGCUGACUUUACUCGGUUUCUAAGGGUCUCAACAUGAGCUGUGCUACGAUUUGCGUUGGGAGACCUUAUCACAUUCAUAGAGUCAAAUGUUGAGUUCCAUUCUUGAGGGUUCAAUGGAGAAAUAUGUGACAUGGUUGCCGGUGAAAACCGAUGAGAAAUCACAUCCUCUUCAGCUACAGCCGCUCUACUUGGAUCUUCUUCAUCCUUCUGAACAGAUAACACCCUCCAAUACAUGCACAGGAGAAGUAAAGCAUUCACUAAGACUCCUACCAGCAUUGCAGGUAGAAUUCCUAUAAGAAAAUCCCCGAAAGAAAUUCCACUCUGAAUUGCUAUAACAAGGUUUUGAGGGUUCCCAAUUGGAGUUGCUGAAGACCCUAUAUUGGCACUUGAGGCAAGAGCAAGCAGGAAUGGAUGAGGGGGUAGAUUAUGUUGUCUUGCAAUUUUUAACACAAAUUCAGUCAAAAUCACACAUGAGGUAUCAUUGGUGAAAAGAGCACUUGAAAUGGCAGAAAUCAGGCAGAUUCUGAAAAGUAAGUCCUUAGCACCUUUACUCUUCCAUGCAAGCAACUUACCUAGAUAUUUAAACAUAUCUGCUCUUUCAAGAUAGACACUGACAACCAUAGUACCAAAUAAAAGGCCAAGGAUUGGGAGAUCAAUUGCAUCAUAUGCUUGAUCUGGGGUUAUGACUCCAAACAAAACCAUAAGCAUGGCCCCUAGUAAGGACCCUGCAGUCCUCCCAACUGGUAGAAAGGGGACAGCAGGGAAAACUGCCAAUACCCAGAAGAUUGCAAACGCAAUUGAGCCUAGAACCACUUUAACAGAAGAAGCCAUGGCCAUUGUUUCUGAUCAAUUAAAAACCUAAAGAAUUCCAAACCUUCGAAAUCUUAUCCAGUACGAGCAGUCCAGUUCAUGCCAUCAGUUUCCCGCCCAAAACAACUACGCAGAGCAGCUUAGCAGUGUGAUCCAACAGAACAUUAUUUUCGAAGUAAAAGAUUUUCGUCCUCGAGACACUGUCAUAAAUUCAAGUCAAAUUUCAAAAGAAGUCAGAAAACUCAGUAAAACUCAAAGACAAGAACUCAAAACAGCAAGCACCCAAAAAAAUUUUGGAAAGAUGUAACAGAGUCCACGAUUCAACUAUCUCCUUUGUCGCUAAGUCAUGGCCAUUUUAGUGAACUUCUAGUCCACAACCUCUAUUGAAUUCAAAGUAUUCAGAUGCAAAGCAUGUUCAUACAAAGUACUGAAGAAAAAGUUUAGACUCACAGUAAUGAAAAAUUGAACGGGGCCAUACUUGCCUGUGAAGGCCACAGCUUUCCAUCAAACUAGGCUCUGCAUUAGAUGGGUUUGGAAAGCACUUCUUCCCAGUUGUCUGAAGGAGAAAUGUGGAUCACAAGUUCGGUUUAGCAUGUUGGAGCUUCCGUUUUAUAACCGUGAAAAAGAUCUUGUCUUGCAUGAUUUCCACGUCCACUCCGGCAAUCGCAUUCAUUCAAUCUUUUAUUUUCUUUCUUUGUCCUCCAAUAUUUUAGAAAGUUAGAGCUUAUUAUCUAUUAUUUUCUUUCUUUGUCGUUCCAUCUUCUAGAAAGUUACCCUCUUAACCAUCCCUGCAUUUGCACUAACAUAUUAUGAAAUUAAUUAAUUAUAAUAAUUCACUAGUAUCAUACAAAUGAAAGGGAAAAAAAAUACUACUGAUAACAAUCCAUUUUGUAUUAUAUCUAUUUAGUGCGUAGAAGUCGGUUAAACUCAAACCGACUCCAUUGCCCAAAUUCUUUCACCGGCUGCAACCUACCCAAGUAGCAACUAGUUGGCAUCGAGAGUUGGAGGCCAGCAACUUUUAUUGAGAGGUUUUUUUUUUAUAGUUAAAAGAGGAGCGAUUCGAAUCCUGUUUUUUAGGCAAGAAGAUUAUGUAUUAACUAAUGAGAUAAAUAUUCGGGUGUGAUUUUUAUUGAGAGGUUAAAGAUAAAAAAGAAUAAAAAUUAAAAAUUUUUAAAAUAAAUAUAUUGAAUUUAAAAAAUAAUUAAAAUUUUAUAAUAAAUAAUAAUUUUAUAUAACAUGUAAAUUAAAAAAAUAAAAAAAACUUAAAAAAUAAUUUUAUAAGUAUCAGAUUUUACUUGAAAAAUAUCUAUUUUUUCAAAAUUGAACUUACGCCGUUUUGAUUCAUACUAUUCUUUUUCAUGAUUUGAAGUAUUGAGGUUCAAUAGUUCAAAUGUAAAAAAAUUAUUUAAAACUUACUUGUACUUUAAUCAUAUUUGAAUUUUUUUUGACAAAUGUUUUUAUUAAACUUUUGCUUGAUCAAAAACUGAUAAACUACUUGAAAAUUUAUACAAUUACACAGAAAAAUCACUUUAAAAACUUGAUGGUUGCUCAAAAAAAAAAAUGCCUAGCAACAAAAAAAAGAGCAAGCACAUCACACCACUAACAUAAAAAAAAAAAUUAAGAUCAGAUCCUAAUCAAUGGGUAGCUAACAUCCAAUUUUAUUAUUUUAUUUCUAUUUAAAUUUAAAAUACUAAAUAUAAAACUAUAAUGUAUAAAAUAUAAAUAGUUAAAUACAAUAUAUAGGAUUUAGUUGAAAAAUAAGAGUAUGAGAAGAAUAUUUGUAGUGUUAUUACUUAAUAGAUCUAUACAGUCCAUAUAUAGACAUGAGUCAAAGGUAUAAAUCCUAUAAUUAAGCUAUUGUUCCUAUAAUCAAGUUCUUCUCUAUUCCUAUAAUCAAGCUUUUUUCAUAAUGAGUCUGUCAACACUUAAUGUACAGUUAAGUUAUCUCUAGAAUAAGAAAGAAUCACAAGAACAAUUAUAAGGAUAAUUGGCUAUCUAUCAAUAUUUCAACAGAUUUUACAUAAUGGUUAAAUAUAUAAAUAGUUAAAUAAAAUAAAUAAAAAGAAAAAGAUAUAAGAAAACUUAAUUUUCUUUUAAAUUACACAAUGAGGUGAGUGGUCUUUAUAAUUUUUUGUCUAAGCUCGAAAGCUCAUAAAUUUAAUUUGAGGAAUGAAAUGCAUUCUACUAGUGAGGUACAAAGAAAACAUUAAAGUAAAAAUAAAAAGACAAAAAAAAAAAGAGGGAAAAGAGAUAUGAAAAAACUUAAAUUAAAAUACAGUUAAGUAGGGUUUAUAAAAUUAUUUUAUUAUUUAUAUUAAUAUUGAAAUAAAAAAAUUAUUUUAAGAAAUUAUUAAAAAAUAUAUAGUCAAUAAAUAAUUUCAUAAAUUUUGNAUAAAAUAAAUCAAAAAAAGAAAAGAUAUAAAAACUUAAUUUUCUUUUAAAUUACACAAUGAGGUGAGUGGUCUUUAUAAUUUUUUGUCUAAGCUCGAAAGCUCAUAAAUUUAAUUUGAGGAAUGAAAUGCAUUCUACUAGUGAGGUACAAAGAAAACAUUAAAGUAAAAAUAAAAAGACAAAAAAGAAAAAAGAGAUGUAAAAAAACUUAAAUUAAAAUACAGUUAAGUAGGGUUUAUAAAAUUAUUUUAUUAUUAAAUAUUAAUAUUGAAAUAAAAAAAUUAUUUUUAAGAAAAUUAUUAAAAAUAUAUAGUCAAUAAAUAAUUUCAUAAAUUUUGAAAGAAGUCAUUAAAAAAUAUAUAAUAAAUAAAUAAUUUUAAAUUAUAAUAAAAUAAAUUAAAAUAUAAAAAAAUAUAUAAUAAAAAAUUUUAAAACUUCGUCGGCCCCACAUUGUUAAAUUACCGCCUCUAUUGUUGGUUCUUUCUUUUUUCUCCCUGGGUUCUUCUUUUUUGUGUUGAAUUUGUGUUUUUUUUUUUUGGUUAGUUUUUGUCAUUUUCUUUGUUUAAUUCAUUAUAUACAUCUGACUAUUUCUAUUUUUGCUAGGGAUUGAUUGUUCAUAGUUGAUGAUGCUAUGUUGUGUUUUGUUUUGGUUUCGCCUCAUUUCUUGCUCUGUUGGGUUUUCUCGGAUCGUUGUUAAAAUUUUCUUUCCUUUUGUUUUUUGUUAGAUUGUGAGUUGGAUUUUGGGUUUUUUUUUUUUUUCUAUGGUUGUCAUCCAAACUAUCAGUUGAUUUUUCCCUCUUUAUUUUUGCUUUACUGUUUCAGUAGUUCAUUUGCGACACAAAUGCUUGUUGAAAUGCAAAAACUUGGCGUCCUGAAAUUGAGUGAAUGGUUCCUAACAUUAACGCUCUCUUUUCUGUUAUAUGUGAAUCGAUUCUUGACUGGAGUUUUACUCUUUGCAAAUUCUCUGAAAUUCGCAACUUGGCCCCAAAAAGAAAGAAAAGAAUAUUACAAGUGUUGAGAGUAUUUGCUUUGCUUUGUCUUUUAUAUUCAGAGACCACGUUCUUUGUUCAAUAUUUCUUUUUGUUAACGGCAGCCAUUGCAUGAAAUGCUCCAUUCAAAUUUUACUUCUGUUUUAUUUCUGUUGUCAUUAAUGCAAUAGUUUUUUUCUGAUAUAUUUUCUAAUGUUACUAUUAAUUUCAUCAAAUUUAAUAGUUGCUUAGCCUUGCAUUCAUGUGUCAAAUUUUUUGUAAGUGAACAUGUCUCACUUUGCUUUGUAUAUAAUUAUUAUCAAAUGGCACUAUUUACAUGUCCAUUAAAUACAAGACCCGUCAACAUUAAUUUCAAUUUACUUAAAAAAUGACUUAUCUUGCCAUGCAUAAGGUUACACUCUAAGAUCAUUGCAAGAGCCAAUCCCAAAAUAUGUGAUGUAAGACACUCUAAUAAUUAUAUGUAUGUAUGUAUAAAAUUGUAAGAGUCAAUCCCAAUAUAUGUGAUGUAAUACACUCUAAUAAUUAUAUGCAUGUGUAUAAAAUUGUAAGAGCCAAUCCCAAUAUAUGUGAUGUAAUACACUCUUAUAAUUAUAUGUGUGUAUGUAUAAUAUUGUAAGAGCCAAUCCCAAUAUAUGUGAUGUAAUACACUCUAAUAAUUAUAUGUGUGUAUGUAUAAUAUUGUAAGAGCCAAUCCCAAAAUAUGUGAUGUAAGACACUUUAAUAAUUAUAUGCAUGUAUGUAUAAAAUUGUAAGAGCCAAUCCCAAUAUAUGUGAUGUAAUACACUCUAAUAAUUAUAUGCAUGUGUGUUUAAUAUUGUAAGAGCCAAUCCCAAUAUAUGUGAUGUAAUACACUCUUAUAAUUAUAUGUGUGCAUGUAUAAUAUUGUAAGAACCAAUCCCAAAAUAUGUGAUGUAAUACACUCUAAUAAUUAUAUGUGUGUAUGUAUAAUAUUGUAAGAGCCAAUCCCAAAAUAUGUGAUGUAAUACACGCUAAUAAUUAUAUGUAUGUAUGUAUAAUGUGUAUCUAUUAAGGAUCCACCAAUAUGUCUCUAUCCCUUACUUUGAUCUCCAGCUCACAAUCCAUUCAUAGAAGCUACUAUAGUUAUUAUUUUUUAUUUAUUGGGUAACUUGUUUAUAUUCUUUAGCAAAUGAAAUUCAAUGGUCGGAGCAUAAAAAAAAAGUUUGAAAUUCAAUUCAAGACCUUAACACACCAAAAUGAUUUUGAUUUUAAACAGUAAGAGCUUGCAAUUGUAUGAAAAGAAAAGAAAAAGAAUUGUUUGUGACUACCAUUAGUGAAUGUCAUUGUUCAAAGAAUUUGUUAUUGUAUGUGUUGAGUUUUAGGUUGACUAGAAUUUUAAAUUUUAUUUGAAUAGGAUUCUUGUUUGUUUACAAUAUUGAAUAGUUGUAUGGUUUUAAAUUUCUUAUUUUUCAUUAAGUCAUAAUCGUAUUCUACUUUAAACUUUUAUAUUAUAAAAAUGGAUCUCUAAGCUUUAAAAUUAAAAGUAGUGCUUUGGGAGCUCUAGAGAGGAGAUAUUUUGUAACUCUGUAUUUUGCUCUAGUUAAAGUUAGAGUGGUUUGGAUGGGUGUUCUUGAUCAGUUAUUUAAAAAGGAUGUGUAAGAGAUAUUGGGUUGAUUUGAAAAAACAUAAAAGUUAAUUUAUUAUAUUUUAAUUUUUUAAUAAUAAAAUAACAGUUUCACUUCGUAAACAUAAGCAAGAGAUCGAAUCACUUAAAUUUUUAUAUUUUUUUAUUUACUUAAUUUCUUUAGAUUUUAUCUUUAUUAUUUUUUAGAUAAUUAUUAUACCAGUAUGUUUAACAUGUAGAAAUAUCCAAGAGCUUUAAUUAUAUCCCUUAAUUUAGUUCUCCUAAAAGAAAGAUAAUGAACGUGUGGUAUCCUUCAACUUGUCUGUCACUUCGAUCCACCUCUGCUUAAGCGUGCUCCCCAUCGAUAUUACUUUCUUUGAAUAACUUUCCUUUGGCUUAGUCAAAAGUAUAGAGCGUAUUUUUUUUUCUCAACCAAUCAAAAGACUUCAUUGAUAGUUGAAUGACAAUUACAAAAGAGAAUAUGAAAUGGCCGCCCAGCCAAGGAAUUAACAUAAGUUCAAUUACAAAAGAGAAUAUGAAAUGGCCGCCCAGCCAAGGAAUUAACAUGAGUUAUGUACCGAAACAAGAAAAAGGGAAAACCAAAUCACAAUAAGACAGACACAUCCCCCUUCAGCAGCAGCAGACAGAAGUAGAGAUGUUCUCAAAAAGCCAUUAAUAUAUCAAAGUGAAAGAUGACGAAACUUGGUGGAAGGAAAGCACCAAUGAAGUGGAAAACGUAAUGCUCCACACUGAUUUUAGGGAUUAAUACCCAUGCAAGUUGCAAAGUUGCAGGUGAGCGUGCAUUAAAUCCAUAUUCAAUGUCUAAAGAGGGACCAAGAAUUUGAUUGUGAAAUUUUUUAAAGUCCAACAAUGGCUGGUUUAUAUUACGAUAUACUAAAAUGGGUUCUGACAAAACCAUGUAUAGAAAACCUUUGCAUGGUAAUAAAUGUACAAAAUGAUACUAAUUCCAAUUAAACUGUGUGGUUAUGACUAUUCGUAGACUAUGUUCUAUGAGCACAUCAGGAAUGCUUGUUGGAAAUUUAAAAGAUUUUGUUAUAUUUGCAGAUUAUUAUUCUGCUAAAAUGAUGAAAAAUAAAACUGGAAGGCUAGAGAAAGAUAAAGCGAGAAAGAAAAUGUAAUUAAAUUCAAAGUCUUUUUAUAGUCUUUUCAUUUAAUUAUAACACUUGUACAUACAUUUACAAUGCAAUAUCUAUAUCUUACUUUACAAAUCCAUUAUUCAAUAUGACAAUAACUAUAAAAAAGAAAAUAAACUGAUAUUAACUAAUAAAUUAAAAAUUGUUAAGAAUAACUAAAUAUGCUUCUUCAAGUCAAAUCUUAUUCUUCAACAAUGCCAAACCAAUGGCUGUAACUAUAAGAGUGGAAGGGACUCCAAAUUUAAGGUGUUUCCAGAAAGAUAAAUUGUAGCCAACUAGAGCGUGGCGAGCUUGCUCACACACCAUCAAGUUAGCAGCCGAUCCGAGAAGUGACAGGUUACCAGCUACAGUGCUGACCCAAGCUAAAAUCAGCCAUGCCUUCUUCUCAUGGGUUGCAGAAAUAGCUGAUGCUGAUAAUGCCACCGGCUUUCUAAGCAAAAGAACUGUUUGAGAAAUAAAAAGAAAACCAUAAGCAUAUAUGUUAAUUUUAAUGACAGGCUAAACCUGCUGGUGUUUUACAGCUACAACAUUUCUAGCUGACAACUGUAGAGUGUGUAAACAGGAGAGUUUAAGGUGGUCCCGAAUAGGCCAAGAGAGUUUUUUAAAUUGUGAAAUGAUGAGGUAGUCGUUAGAGGAGGAGAUGACCAAGUUUCGAGAAUGGCAUUGUAUGCAAUCACUUGAUCUGUGUGGUUACAACGCAAUCAAAUUGUGUUUAGAAGCGCUGUAUGGAUGCGAAUCAGGUUUUGGAGCUCAGCAAGCUUAGGGUUGCGGUUUGGGCCAAGGCUAAAUAGAGAAUCAGGCAUGAAAUAGUCCAAUAGUGGUGUCAUGAUUUCAAAUUUGAAGGAAUAAAAAUAAAAAAUUUAAUAUUUAAAGAGGUAACAUUAUAUAAUUUUUAAAAAAUAAAAAAAUAAAAUUAUAAAUAUUUAAAACAAAACAAGGAAAAAAUUAUGAACUUUUGAAACUUUGGGAGAGCGGGGCCCAGCUAGCCCCCCUCCCUCCGCCUCUAGGGUGAUCCUUGACACAUACCGGAAUUCUGCUUUUGGUGUGGGAAUGAAGGAGAUAUAGAGAAGUGGAGGGUUGGAUCAAAUCAGUGGUGGGGAUGAAUGUAAUAAGUUGGGAGGUUAAGCAUUUUUUUAGAGAGAACAAUCUGUUGGCUGAUAAACUUACAAAAGUUGAAGUUCAACGUGCUCAGGACCUCAUCAAUGUGCUGGAUUAACCACUGGUAUGGCUUAUUAUUGUGUGAGUUGAUGGUUUCUAUGUGAUUUGAUGAGACUGCUUUCCAGAAUGAUCAAGGACGAGGCUUUCUAGUGCUGAGAUGAUUUACCUCUGGUUGGUUAUGGGUCAUGUUGCUGUGGAGGUUUUGGUUUUUGUUCUUUUUUAUUGUACAUAUGUUAGAAAUGAACUUUUUUACCAGAUGUUUUAACAGGUAGUUGGAAUAGCUCUUUUUUGUUUCCUGGAAAGGUACAAGGCUGUCUUUGGUUUCUCUUUUGUUUGGGAGGGCAACUGGCAGGAAAUAGGGAGGCAAGCGAUUACUAGUGAAUUGUAUAUAUAGGUUUUUGGGUAUAGGGUAUUGAGAUGAUUGAGGAUUGUUAUUCCCAAAAUUCAGAGUAACAGACCUGAAUCAGACUCUAAUUCAUCCAGAGGUGCACUUUUGAUUUCCUCUGUCUGAAAUAUAUCAUUAACUUUAAAAAAAAAAUGUAGAGUGUAAACAUCAACAUAUACCAGUUGGUACAUUCGAAGCCAAAUUUGAAAGGACGAGUAUGACAAUGGCAAGAACCGCUAUCCCGAAAAUAUCAUUGAUCUUUGCAUAGGGCUCCACCAAGUCCCAAAGAGUGCUUGGGAUCCCAGUCUUGUUAAAGCCAGCCACUGUAGCAAACAUUCCGCAGAAGAAAACUAGAAGCGGAUACGACACCUGGUAAAAGAAGAGAAGUGUAGCAGAACUUUGAGUAAGUACCCACGUCAAAGAGAUUACAAGAAGCAAAAGAUGCAAUAGCAAGAACAUUCUGGUUUGCAGAUUACCUUUUCUAGGCAAGGGUGUGCAUCAUUAAAAUCAAGAACGAUAAGAGCAAUUGCAGCGGUGAUUGCAGUCCAGGACAUGUUAAAAUCCAUAAGAAACGAAAUCAGCAUUCCUAAGGUAACAAGGUACACGCAUGGUUUCCACAUUGUCCUUUUCCACCUUGUGGCCAAGUUUUCCUUCCCUGCUGGUUUCGAAGAUUCUACGAAGACUGGUGCCCUCACUCUAUGUUGCUUUGAUAGAAGUGGAAUUGCCUCACUUCUCUCGGAAGAACCAACACUUGUCACGGUUAUCAUUACUGCAUUAGACUCAACUGCGCUCUUGGAUACCAUUUGGAUCAUUUCACUCUCAACAAAACUCUCUCGGUUUUUAAGAGUGUCAACAUAAGCUGUGUUUGUAUUAGUUUUGGGAGAUAUUUGUGGGUUCAUUGUUUCCAAUAUGGAGUUCCAUUCUUGAGAGUUUAAUGAUGAAGAAUGUAACAUCGUGGCUGGUGAAUCACAAGGAAAAAUUCUAUUUUCAUCUGCUACUACUUUUCCAAUGGCAUCUUCUUCAUCUAUCGGAAUAGAUAACAAGCUCCAAUACAUGCACAGAAGCAGCAAAAAGUUCACAAUUAAACCCACAAGCAUUGCCGGCCGAAUUCCAAUAAGAAAAUCCCCAAACGAAAUUUUACUGUUAAAUGCUAUGACCAGGUUUUGGGGGCUUCCAAUUGGAGUUGCCGCAGAGCCAAUAUUUGCACUUGUCGCAAGAGCGAGCAGGAAGGGAUGAGGGGGUAGAUUAUGUUGUCUUGCAAUUGUUAACACAAAUUCAGUCAAAAUUACACAUGAGGUAUCAUUGGUGAAAAGAGCACUUGAAAUGGCAGAAAUCAGGCAGAUUCUGAAAAUUAAGUCCUUAGCACCUUUACUUGUCCAUGCAAGCAACUUAGCUAGAUAUUUACACAUAUCUGCUCUUUCAAGAUAGACACUGACAACCAUAGUACCAAAUAAAAGGCCAAGGAUCGGGAGAUCAAUUGUGGAAUAAGCUUGAUCUGGAGUCAUGACUCCGAAUAAAACCAUGAGCAAGCCCCCAAGUAGGGAGCCCGCAGUUCUCCGUAUUGGCAUAAAAGGUACUGUAGGGAAAACAGCCAAUACCCAAAAGACUGCAAAAGCAAUGGAUCCUAGAACUACAUCAACCGGAAAAGCCAUGUCCAUUUUCUCAGCACAAUAAAAAUGUUCUUCUUGCUAGCAAGUUUCGAAUCUUCAAAAUCUUAUUCAGUAGGAUUCCAGGAAGUGCAUGAAGUUCUAAGCCCUAAAAAUCUUAUACAUCGGAACUGUAGUACUUUCAAGUACUGCUAGCUUAUCAGAAACUAGCUGCUAGGGGCGUGCACUAAAGAGCCGAGAUAUUGAUUAUCCAACCGGUUGAACAUUGUCAGUGAGUGAAGACAAGAUUUGACCCCGAACAAGACACUGUCACAAAAGCAAGCAACAUUAUAAAACUCAAAUAUCCUGAAAAAACGUUCAUUGAACAGUAACCAAACAGCUUGAGAGCAGACAAUAAAUACACUGAAAAGUAAUUAGUUAUGCAAAAAGAUAUUCCAUGCAAAAUCUCUUGCAUGUUAGAAAGAUAAGAAUUAAGCUUGAGAAAAAUACAAACAAAAAUAUCAUCAUCAUCAUCAUCAGGAUACCUAGUGCAAUAGAUAAUGGUACUAUAAGAUAAAAUCCGGAUUCUAAUUCCAAGUACGUAUACCCUGGCCAAAUGCGCAUACAAAAUGCUUUUAAAAUACCAAAAAAACAAAAUCAUAUAGUUCAGCUUGUUUCUAUAAAAUGCUACUCUCAUGGUCACAUAUGCUCCCAGUUCAUGCGUCAAACGACCAAAUAAAUUUUUUUUUUUUGAAAGGCAUGAACAUUUCAUUGAAAGAGCUAGCUGGCAAGGGGUUGCCAGAAAAAAACAGAGAGGGUAGAGAAAAUCGCUUCAGCUGCUAAUCCCCUGUUACAAAGAGACAAAAUGGGUUACACAAUUUAGCCACAAAAAAACAAUUAGUCCCCUGGGUCCUAAAUGGUAAUACAGUUCAGCUACAAAACAUAAGAAAAAAGCGAAGGGGUAGAAAAUAUUUGUGCCCACCUGUACAUGCAAAAAUACCUCAAAAAUAUUUUAAAACAGGAAACACCAGAUGGGAAGUUUUCAAACAAGAUAGAAGAACCGCGCCCUUGGUUCAUCUAUCUUCGCCUCUACUGUAUUCAACGAACUGUUAAUUAGCUCAAAUCUCAAUAUCCAUAUGUAAUUCAAAUGCUAUAAUAAUCUGUCUCACACUCUACAUAUUGUGACUAUUCCUCUAAAAAAGAAAGCACUUUAAACUCACUUUAACAAAAAGUUGUACCAGCUCUAAUGGCGUUGAGAGCGUCUUGGGUUGGACGUGAAGGUGUGGGGCCUUUAUAAUAGAAGAAACCAGGUUUGUAAUUGGAUGGAUUAGAUACUUAAGAAUACUAUCAUCACUUUCAGGUUUAGUCAAAAAUGUUGAAGAUCCGUAAUUUCCUUCGCUCCUUCAUUGUUUGUUUUUCUUUCUAAGAGUUUUGUUGCGACUUGUGAUAAAACCUAAGGAAAAAUUGUCACAUUUACAUUAAUUCUGAAACUUCUUGGAAAAACCUUUAACGACUAGGUUCAUAUACCGUUCUUUAAGGUUUAUUAGCCUAGUGGUCCUGUAAUGUGAAGUCUAGCCAUGCAUUUAUAGUUACGUGUUGAGUUGUGAAUUUGACUUUUAUAUAUAUUCCGGUGCAUCCACAGAAGAGGAAAUCACAAUGCAUCUUGCUCAGCAGGCGUAGCUUGGAGUGGGAGUGUAGCGUAGGUAAGGUAAUGAAAGUCGCCGCCAGAGAGGAAGCCAAACCGGCCUAUUAAGCGCAACUAUAACAAAAGAAAAGGAUGUUUUUUGUUUUUCGAUAGAAAGAAAAAGAAGGAAAAGCAGUUUGGAAAUUGAAAAUAGGGUUUUUUUUUACAUAUCAAGUAAAAUUAUGAGAUAUUUAUUGAGAUUUGUCAAUAAUCUAAAAUGAGAAAUGUUAUAGAGUAAUUUAAGUUGUGAAUAAUAAAAUUACUAUACAUAUGAUUUAAAUGAAAACAGAUGAAUCAAUAUUAAUUCAGAUUUAAAUUUAAUUAUUAAAAAAUCUUAAAAAUUGAUUGAAAAAUUAAUAUUAUAUAUGUAUAUUGCGAAUUUAACUAUUUAUUAAAUUUUUUUAUAAAUAAGAUAUUUCAAUAUUUUAUUAAUAUGACACUUUUCAAAAAUCUUCCUAGAGAUAAUGUUUUAGUUUUAUUAAGCAAUCUUAUGUGAAUUUCAUUCUCAUACUUUAUUUUUAUAUAAGUACACUAUUUUUAUUUUCUCUUAAUAAAAAAAAAGGAAAAAUAGAAGGUGUAAACCGUAAAACGAAUUGAAGUAUCGAGCGGCACCAGGCACUGUUUGACCCGACAGUAAACGAUAUAACCCGAUAACCAAAGAAUCGGGUUCCGUUGGGCAGAGGGAUCUCGGCCCAUUUAUAAUCAUUACAAGCUGAAUCAGCCCAAUUUCAAAUUGUUGACUUUUCUUCUUUUUUAAAAAAAAGCUUUUAAGACUUGUUCUUUAAAUUAGGGGAAAAAAUGAAACAACCUUGGGCUAAAAUGGUUCAAUAGUGAACGCAAAAACCUCAUUCAGAUGCAAAGCUUUGGGUUCAACUCAUUACAAUGUGAAGCUUGGACUUUGGAUUCAGUUGUAAACAUCAGGUUCCAAAUGGACAAAUACCAAUCUUGCUCUAUUGAUAGAAAAGAUAAGAUUUCUAGCAUUGGUCAGUUGGUCAGAUACUAAGAAAGAGAAGGAUAUGAGAAAAGAAACAGAGCAGAAGUGAGGCCGCAAAAUCCCCGUCGAUCUUAGUGUGACUUUGUAAAUCAGAGUCCAUUUUCUGUUGGCCACAGGCUGUUUUAUCUUUUCUGUCUGUUGAUUUUUGUUAGGGAUAGGUGGGCAGGACAGAGACAUAGCUUGGCUGCUAGUCUGCUACCCAACAAACAUUAUUCUGCUUAUCCUUAGCCAGCAUAAAAAGUGCUGGCAUCAACCAUCAUUUUAUGAUCUACUAAAAACUUCCACUGUCUUACUGAUCCAUCUAUGCCCUACAAAGAUUUGCCUUUUAAAAUCAUAUUGACUCAUCAACUACUAUCUGCACCAUACUUGCAUUCCCGACUUCAAUGCUAUGCAGAGUUGGUCCGGAGUUAGGACUGCUUCAGCUGUGGGUUCUUUGGUUAAUUCUGGAUCCGGAUAUUGAAACUGGCUAUUGGACUUGCUCUAGCUUCCAAACUACUAAUAUUUUCCAAUAAAAUUUACCCUUGACCUGAUAACCUGGCAUAAAAAAUGGUAUGCAUUAGCCAUUUGGCCAUCAACUCUAACUGGUGUUCAUGACACAGAAGUUACCCGAAGUAAUGAGCCUUUAGAGGUUUAACCACAGGAAGACCCAUUUUUUUUCUCUGCCAGCAGUCCCAGAGCAAUAUUUAUUAAUAGUGAGCAGCGAUGUUCUUUCUUCUACCUUUUCCAUUCCAAGAAUCCUACUAAAUGCCUUUCUUAUCAGUGACAACAGACGAUGCCGUGCUGGAUGCUGCCUCAUAAUAUUUGCAAUUCCUAAGGAGAUCUCUUUGUGCGCUAGCUUAACUAGUUGUCCAAGGCCAGGCCUUUGUUAAACACCAUGACACACCUAAGCAAGGUUAAAACAUAGCCACAAAUUUCCAGGAGCCGGUAAAGAAAAGAUAAUUCCUGAUAGAAUCAGAAUGAACUAGCAAUUUGAAGCGUAUGGAUCAUCUUCAUAGCAUUUUUAAUUUUUGGGAAGCAGACUCAUACAUCGAUAUGGUGUAGUUCACAAAAUGGCAACUAGGCACCAGGUUGAGUUGGCUGUUGAUGAGCAAUUUGCUGCUGAUUAAUUAACAUAGGACUCAGGCAUACAGUGAAUAGUAGAAUGAUAUUGAAUGGGUGCUGAAACAAUGCAUUGUAGUUGCCUAAAAAGACCAAGAUAUUAACCUCGUUAAUCACCAAAUGAGCUGCAAUUUACUAGCAUGAAAAAAAAAUUAUCCUUAUUAUUAUUACAUAUUAGAGGAAAAUGAAAAUAAUAAUAAUAACACAACACUAUAUGUGAAUACUAUUCUUUUUUUUUUCUUUUGUAUAACAUCGGGGAAAGAAAUAUUAAAAGAAUGCUCUAACAGUACCCACACUGUUGACCCCAAUGAAUUAUUCCUUCACCGGAUCAUCUUUCAGGUCACGAGGGAUAAAGACUCUUCUGACCUCUGAAAACUAGCCUUUAGUCCACCAUCUAAUACCAUACUGUUGAAGCUAUUGUUGGAUAUUUUCAAAUAAAAAAUAUAAUUUCAUAUCUUAAUAAAAGAAAAAAUUGUGACUGUUGAAAAUUAAAUUAAAAAAAAAUUGUAUAUGUUAAAAAUAAAUAAAUAAAAUUAAAAAAAUAAUAAAAAGAUUGGAAAAAACCAACAGGAAGCAACUUUUUGAAAUAGACACAAACAGUGUCUCUUGGGAAUAGACAUUUAUGCCUAUAAAAGAGACUCUCUUUAUCCAACAGAACGUACAUAAGAAAAACAAAAACUUUCCUUUCUUUCUCAAAUUUCUCAAGUUUUUUUCUAUACUAUUUUCCUGCAGAAAAAUAUUAUAAAAAUUUGAUAAUCUUGUUAUAUUCCGGUUAGUGCUCAGUGGAUUGAUUUCGUCAGUGCAAAAAGUUGUCAAUCAUUGGGCUUCAUUGUAUCUUUAAAGUGUAUACGUCGGAAACUUUUUUGCACACUACAAGUGGGGGCAAAUAAAACCUUAAGGACAAUGGCAUUGAUAUACGCCUUGAAGCCAAUUUCUAAGUUUUCAAUUUGGUGUUCUAACAAUCUUAAGGUUUUCUUUUCGUUCCAACAAUGGCUGCUGCAAGUGGGACACUAAGAGAAUUGGCUUCUAAUUUUGUAAAAUUGGACCGGUUUGAUGGUGGCAACUUUCUAAGAUGGCAAAAGAAGAUGCAUUUCCUAAUAUCAACCUUGAAAGUUGUCUAUGUUUUGACCACACCUAGACCAAAAGAAGACGAAAAUGAGUCUGUUGCUACAACGAGAGAAAGGCAAAAAUGGGAAAAUGCCGAUUAUAUGUGCAAAGGUUACAUCUCGAAUGGUUUGGUUGAUGGCUUAUUUGACACAUACCAAAAUGAGGCUACUGCAAAAGAAUUAUGUGACAAACUGGAAGCCAUGUACAUGACAGAAGAUGCAACAAGUAAGAAAUUUCUAGUUAGUCGCUUUAUUAAUUAUCAAAUGGUUGAUGGGCGUUCUGUUAUAGAACAACUAAGAGAAAUUGAAAGAAUGCUUAAUCAGUUUAAAUAAUAUAAAAUGAAAAUGGAUGAAACUAUAAUUGUAUCCUCCAUUAUAGACAAACUUCCUCCAUUAUAGACAAACUUCCUCCAUCAUGGAAAGACUUUAAAAGAAGUCUAAAACACAAAAAGGAAGAAAUAACUCUUGGGGCUUUGGCAAAUCAUCUUCGAAUUGAAGAGGAAUACAGGAAACAAGAACAAGUUGUUGUUUCUGGUGAAGCCAAAGUACAUGUUGUAGAGGAAAGAUAGACCACUAAACCUGUCAAAAAGAAGUUCAAGCAGAUUGCUAAUGGUCCGAAAUUCAAAAGACAAAAUAAAAGCACAUGUUUCUAUUGUGGAAAACCAGGACAUUUCAAGAAUGAAUAUCGAUUAUUGAAGAAGAAAAAUAAUUCUUCAAAAAGAAAAGCUUCUGAAAAUUUUAUAGUUAUGAUUUCUGAAAUCAAUGUACUUGAAGAAAAUGAUGCUUGGUGGGUUGAUUCUGGAGCAACAAAACAUGUGUGCAAUGAUAAGAGUGUUUUCAAGAAUUUCGUAUUAAGUGAGUGUGAAAAUUUCCUAUACAUGGAAAAUUCUUCCACAACAAUGAUUAAAGGCAAAGGGACUGUUGAACUUCAAUUCACUUCUGAAAAAACUUUAACUUUGAAAGAUGUAUUCUAUGUUCCAGAAGUUAGGAAAAAUUUAGUGUCUAAAAGUCUAUUAAAUAAGUUUGGUUUCAAGCUUGUAUUUGAGGCAGAUAAAUUCAUUUUGUCCAAAGGGAGAAUUUUUGUUGGAAAAGGUUACAUGUGUGAUGGAAUGUUUAAAUUAAAUACUGUUAAUAAUAAGAUAGAUGUUUCUACUUAUAUGAUUGAAUCUUCUUAUUUAUGGCAUUAUAGAUUAUGACAUUUAAAUUAUAGAAGAUUGGAUGACAUGUAUAAAAUGGACUUAAUUCCAAAAUUCAAUCCAAAUAUUGAUAAAUGUAAUACAUACAUGCUAACAAAAAUAACUAGAAAUCCUUUUCCUAAAGUUAAAAGAAAUACCAAAUUACUUGAAUUAAUACAUAGUGAUGUGUGUGAUAUGCAUAGUACACCUACAUUAGUUGGAAAGAAAUAUUUUCUCACAUUCAUUGAUGAUUUCUCUAGAUAUUGCUACGUAUAUUUGUUGCAUUCUAAAGAUGAAGUACUUGAUAAAUUUAAGGUUUAUAAAUUAGAAGUUGAAUUACAAUGUGAAUCUUUUAUCAAGUGUUUAAGAUCGGAUAGAGGUAGAGAAUAUUAUAGUCCAAGUUAUUUUGCCUCCACUGGAAUAAUCCAUCAUAUUUCAGCACCUAACACACCACAACAUAAUGGUGUAGCAGAAAGGAAUAAUAGGGUCUUGAUCGAAAUGGUAAAUGCUAUGUUAUCAUAUUCAGGUCUUGGAAAAGGUUUUUGGGGAGAAGCUUUGUUAACAGCUUGUCAUAUAUUAAAUAGAAUUCCUAUAAAGGAAACUAAAAUGACCCCGUAUAAGCAAUAGAAGAAAAAGAAACCAAACCUUAAUUAUAUGAAGGUUUGGGGAUGUAAAGCUGUAGUUAAAAUUUCGAAACCCAAAAAAAAGAAAUUGGGCGAAAGAGGAAUAGAAUGCAUAUUCAUAGGAUAUGCACAACAUAGUAAAGUAUAUAGGUUCAUGGUAAUUGAACUAAAUGAUUCAAUUCCUGUCAAUACUGUUAUUUAAUCAAGAGAUGCAAUAUUUAAUGAAAAUAGAUUCAAAUCUGUUUUAAGACAACUACAACCACUACAAUCAAUUCAGUCAAAUGUCAUUCCAUUGGAACAAAAUCAAGAUAAUGAUGAAUCUAGAUCAGAAAUAAGGAAAAGCAAAAGGGCUAGAAAGGUAAAAGAUUUUGGCCUAGACUUUUAUAUGUUCCUUGUAGAAGGAAUAAGGAAAAAUAUUGACAAUAAGAUUUCUUAUUGUUUUAAUUUAGAAUCAGACCCUGUUACAUAUGAUGAGACAAUGAAGUCUCAAGAUUCUACAUUUUGGAAUGAAGCAAUCAAUGAUGAGAUAGACUCAAUAAUGGGAAAUAAUACUUGAAUUUUGGUUGAUCUUCCACCAGGUUUCAAACCAAUAGGUUGUAAAUGGAUUUUCAAAAAGAAAAUUAAAGUAGAUGGAACCAUAGACAAAUUCAAAGCAAGAUUAGUAGCCAAAGGCUUUAAGCAAAAGCAAGGGAUUGACUACUUUGAUACUUAUGCUCCAGUAGCAAGAAUUGCUACAAUUAGACUUCUAAUCUCCCUUGCAUCAAUUUAUAAGUUGGUAAUUCACCAAAUGGAUGUCAAAAUAGUAUUUUUAAAUGGUGAAUUAGAAGAGGAAGUCUACAUGGAACAACCAGAAGGGUUUGUUGCUUCAAGACAAGAGCAUAAAGUUUGUAAACUUGUCAAAUCAUUGUAUGGGCUAAAACAAGCACCUAAACAAUGGCAUAAAAAAUUUGAUGAAAUUGUUUUAGCUAAUGGCUACAACAUAAAUGAAUCUGACAAGUGCAUAUAUAGCAAAUUUCAAAAUAAUAAAGAUGUUAUAAUUUGCUUAUAUGUGGAUGAUAUGUUAAUUUUUGGUACGGAUUUAGAACAAGUUGAGGAGACAAAGAAGUUUUUGUCAAAAAACUAUGCAAUGAAAGAUAUGGGUGUAGCAGAUGUCAUUUUAGGAAUUAAAAUAUUUCGAUAUGAAAAUAACAUAACUUUAUCUCAAUCGCACUACAUUGAAAAAGUGCUUGAAAAUUUUAAUCUUACUAAUUGUAUUUCAGCAUCUAUACCCGAUGGAUCCUUAAAUUAAAUUAGUACUUAAUGUCGGUAGGGUUGUUGAUCAAUUACAAUAUGUAAGAGUAAUUGGUUUUCUUGAUGUAUGCAAUGACAUGUACAAGGCCAGAUACAACAUUUGCUGUUGAAAAGUUAAGUAGAUAUACAAGUAAUCCAGAUACUUUGCAUUGGCAAGUCAUAAAUUGAGUACUAAGAUAUUUAAAGAAAAUAAUUAAUUAUGGACUUUGCUAUAAUGGAUAUCCAUCAGUACUAGAAGGAUAUUCAAAUGCUAGUUGGAUUACAAGUUUAGAAGAUCAUGCUUCCACAAGCGGAUGGAUCUUCAUGCUUGGUGGGGGUGUCAUUUCUUGGGGGUCCAAGAAACAAACAUGUAUAACUGAUUCUACCAUGACAGUCGAAUUUAUUGCAUUAGUUGCUGCCACCAAAGAAGCUGAAUGGCUAAGAAAUUUACUCUAUAGUGUGCCUUUAUGGCCUAAACCAAUUUCUCCAAUUUCUAUCCGUUGUGAUAAUGAAGCAACUCUAGCAAAAACAUAUAGCCAAGUGUAUAAUGGAAAGUCUAGACAUAUUGGAUUAAGACAUAGCUAUGUUUGACAAUUAAUUUCUGAUGGAUUGAUCACUAUAACUCUUAUGAGGUCUAGUGAAAACUUGGCAAAUCAUUUAACAAAAAAUCUUACUAGAGAUCUUGUAAAUAAGACCUCACAAUGGAUGAGACUCAAGCUCAUAAAUUGAAAGUCACCAAUGGUGGAAACUCGACUCAACGUUUGGUAUAACGUCAAGUCUUGAGUUCAAUGAGAUAAAGUACAUCAUUUGUUUGUGGCUGCUAGCACUAUAAUAUAAUAUAUUUUAUCCUAAGUGAAGUGCUAGCUACCCGUAAUGGUAAGGAAAUGAUGAGUUAUAUAUCUUAAUAAACCCAUAACAUAAUUUGUUAGAAUGCUUUAGUUACGGGGGCAUUCAUGGGAUCUACCUAUUUUAGUGUGAAGUGUGGCCGCUUCCAAGAGUUCAAGAGCUUGGCUCUAACAGCACUCAUGAAAAGAAGAUACAGACGCAUGGCCAUAAAAGCGUCGUCAGAUACUGUGCAUUCAUUGGUAUUGAAAUCGUUGUGUGAGAUGUAUUUGGUUAACCAAAUGGAAUAACUGGUUCAAAACAUAGUCUGCCAUACAAUUUCGAUUAACUUUAAUAUGUUUUCACUAAAUGAAGGUUCAAUCGGAAGACACCUUCAUUUAUGCAAAUGAUUUCCAAGAUUAUCGAAAAUUUGAAUUAAUUUGAAAAUGGUGGGGGAUUGUUGAAUAUUUUCAAAUAAAAAAUAUGAUUUCAUAUCUUAAUAAAAGAAAAAAUUGUAACUGUUGAAAAUUAAGUUAAAAGAAGGGUUGUGUCUGUUGAAAAUAAAUAAAUAAAAUUAAAAAAAUAAUAAAAAGAGAGAAUAAGAAAAAGAGUUACGUCUAUUGGAAAAGAUCAACAAGAAGCAACUCUUUGAAACAGACACAAAUAGUGUCUGUUGGGCACCGACAUUUAUGCCUAUAAAAGAUACUCUCUUUAUCCAACAGAACGUACAUUAGAAAAAUAAAAACUUUCCUUCCUUUCUCAAAUUUCUCAAGUUUUCUUCUAUACUAUUUUUCUACAGAAAAAUAUUAUAGAAGUUUGAUAAUCUUGUUAUAUUCCGGUGAGUGCUCAGUGGAUUGAUUUCGUCAGUGUAAAAUGCAGUCAAUCAUUGGGUUUCAUUGUAUCUUCAAGAUUUAUACGCCGGAAACUCUUUUGCACACUACAAGUAGGGGCGAAUAAAACCUUAAAGACAGUAGCAUUGAUACACAUCUUGAAGCUAAUUUUUAAGUUUUCAGUUUAGUGUUCUAACAGCUGUGACUCUGAGGAAGUAAACUCUUCAUAUCAAACAACUGAAGGCUAGUGGUUUACUGUUGCAAAUCUAUUACACAAGUUUAUGCAUUGUGGUGAACCUAGUUGCAUAGUUCCAAAAUCAGCGGACCCCUGGCCGUAACAUAGGGAAGAAAGUCCAGCUAUUACCAGGCCUAGCUUCCUUUCUAGCAACCAGCUUCUCCUUUUGUUUUGUCGAAGUUGAACUCUUUAAUUGAACCAAGUGUAACAGACCGAUGCUUUUGAUAACUAUGCUCCUCUUCAGCUUUUCCUGAAGCUUUUUCAACUGUUUCAAUGGAAGUUUUCCUAAUAAACAACUCACAAGAACUUUCUAGAUCCUUUUUUAUUCCAUCUCUUUCUAUCCUGCCCUCAGCCACCAAGUCCUUUGGAUAUUCUGAUACGGUUCUACUUGGUAGCAAUGACUUGCUUUCGAGACAGCGUGCAACAUCUUCACCACUUAACUCAAAAGAUACUCUGUGAUCAACUAUCGUUUCAUCAUUUUUAGGUCCAUUUGCUUGGUUAGUAAGCAAUGCUACCUCAGAAAUCUGACUCCCUAUAAGAAAACCAUCUCGUGAGGGAGGACCCAAACCAUCAGGUGUCAAUGAUCCCGAACCCAACCUCGAACCCAACCCCAUACCGUCUGGAGUCACAGAUCCAGAACCCAGUCUUGAACCUCGCCCCAGUCCAUCUGGCGUCAAUGAUCCAGAACCUAGCCUUGAACACCAUUUGCGAGUGGUUAAAUUUUCAAAGCCUAAAAGUUUGGGAGCCUCCCCCAUGUGGAACUCAAGGAUUGGACGUCUAUCAGGGAAAGGAGAGGAUGUGCCAGAAUUAGAGAUUGCUGACCCAGGUGAUCUGAGGUUACCACCAGGGCUCCCAGGGUAUAUUUGAUAAGACUGAAACUCAUAAUGGGAUAAUCCAAAUUUCUAAUUGAUCCCACCGUUUCUCCGAGCACGCUCCAAUGAAGAUGCCAGCAAUUGAGCAAAUGGUACUUCAGGGGAUGAAGGUGUUGUCAGUUGAAUAGAUUCAGGAGGAGGUGUAAAAGGAGCAGUGGAUGGUUCAGGUGCCAAGGCAGAGAAUACAGGUGGUGUAACUAACUGGGUUUCAUGUGCAUAAGGGCCUAUGGCAAAAAUGGAUGCAGGGCCACGGGGGGAGUACGCAUUAACAGAAAGGGGAGUUAGGGACAGCAAUCCAGCUAGUGAUUGGGUGGCAGAUGGAGGAUCCGACUGGAGGAAUGAUGCAGGAGAUGAGGGAGGGGCAAUAAAGGGCAGUAUAAUGCCAGUUGGAUUACUUACAUUUUCAGCAGUUGAGACUGAAGCUCUGUUAGAUAUUAAUGCCUGCAUCCCCAAGACAAAUGUCCUUUUUGUAGUAAUACACUUUGCUUCGCUGUCCUGGUACCAAUGUAAGCUAACUAUGCUGUCUUGGUGUCACAUACGUGUUGCCUUGUUAAGGUCACGGUAGCCAUAUGCCUGACACUUGUUAAUACUAGGAACAGGCGUGAUGUAUGACACAGCAGUAUAUAAUCUUGUAAUCAAACCGUUUUAUAUAUGACACAUAUAUAUCUCAGUUUCAAUAGUCUGAACAGAGGCUUUAUGAAUUUCCUGAAAGAGUUUAUCGUGCUUGUUUUCAUCGCUCCUGGUACCACGGGUUCAGGAACAAGGACAGCAUGGCCAAUUCGCUUACUGUUUUUCUGAGAUCCAAAACACCAGUAAAGGCCCCAGCAGCUUCCCCAUUUUUUUUUCUGUAUUUAAAUGAAAGACUGUGAAUCAGUAUUUUGUACGGAAAAUAAGUUUUUCAUCCUCAAAUAUUCCACAUAAGGCAGUGAGCAAUAUAGGUACAUUCAUUUCAACUCUCAGCCCCCAUAACAAUAUGGGAGCGAAAGAUUAAUGAAGAGCAAGAUGAACACAAUCUUCAGUCUCUACACCUCCCUCAACCAAUGUAUUAUAGCAAUCAUGAAAAAUUCAAUUUGAAAAUUUAAGCUACCCAAAAUUAAACAUCUGCUUUCAUGCUGCUGAGUGCUGACAUUUUGGAGAACACCAUGUGCAUCAUGCUUUAUCAACACAAAAUUUUUCAAGUCUGAAAAUAAAUAUAUAGUCAAGCAAGAUUGCACUUAUAAAAAUAUGGUUUAUCAGACUCUAAAAUAGCAUCUCCCUCUGCCCAAACAUGAUACUGAGUACAUCAGGAUGACUAACUCCCACAUAUAAAGUUGAUAAAUUUUUCUCUGCCUGGUAGUUGCUGUAUGUUUAUUAAACUCUGGUUUUCCAUGUUCUUGGCUAAUUUCUUGUGUACAUACAUGAAAAAAAAGUUCAAGCACACUAGCAAACUUCACAUGCAAGCAGCAGAAACAAGUCUCAACAUCAUAAGAAUAGCACUAGCACAACAUUGAUCAUGAAUGCCUUUUUGACAUACAAUGGCAAUACACACAUACAUACAUACAUACUUAUGACUUUAAGGAAUAACUAGUUUUGAUUACUCUUUAAGAAUUCUAAGGAAGACUACACAUUAGAAUGCAAAUUACACAGUUUUUGAAAAUUACUUUUAAAUGCAAAACUACAAGACGGAUCAACUAUUUUGGCUAAUUAAACUUCGUUCUUCCCUGAAGAUGUUUCUAUAGGCAUCUCAAUAAAAUGGCAAAUAUACCAAGAAAAACCUGCAAACCAUUCAUAUCAAAUGACCAAUUAAGUUCCAUUUCUUUUAUAUUGUGUUUGUCAAAUCUCCUUAUUUUUCCACCACAACCUAAUAUCUCUUUUUAAAAAAAUUGCUGCAAUACACUCUAGCCUGAUAUCAGCAAAUUCUUCGACAAAAGACACUAAAAUGAACAGAAAAGCUGCCCCCACCCAAAGCAGGAAUGAGUUGCAGAAAACAGACAAAGAGGCAUAAUACCGAAAAUUUUACUGUUUUAAUUUUUAAAAAAAGAAGAAAAAAGGAAUAGUUAAACUUGCUAUACUCAAAUCUGCACUUUAGAAGUACGUAUAUAAAACGAUGUUUUUUUCUUUUCUACUUUUCUUUUUCUUUGAUAAGUCGAAUUCCACUGUUAAGAGGAUUUUUUUUUUAUGCCUAUUCCUGAUGCAAAACCAAAAAGUAAAAGCAGAACCUUAACUGAGCCUAGCUCAGCUAAUUGACUUGCUUGCCAAGAAUAAAACAAAUUAAAACUCAAGAAUAGGCAUAAGCAAAGAGAUCAACAUUCCUACAACAACUAGAUUCCACAGCUUCCUUUUCCAUCUUUCUGAACAAUUUGAAUUCCUUGACUCCCAGGGACCAUCCAGGAAGCCAUGAAUCUCAGUCUCACCCUGGUUUGAAUUUACACGGUUUCUAAGAGUGUCAUGAUGAGCCAAGUUCACACUGCCAUUCCCAUAGGGGGAGGUUAGCACAUUUUUAAUUUCCAAUCCAGGGUGUCGUCCUUGAGAGCAUGAUGAUGCCAAACGUGGAAUUGUGCCUGGUGAAAAAUGGUGAGAACUUACACUAUCCCCAGUAAGAAAUUGUGCAGCUGAAUCUUCUUCAUCUAUCUUAACAGAUAACAAAUUCCACUACAUGCAUACAAGUAAUAGAGCAUUGACAAUAGAUCCUAGUAUAGUCGCAGGAAGAAUUCCGGUUAAGAAUUCCCCAAAAGAAAUCCCACUCUCUGUGGCUAUAACCAAGUUUUGGGGGUUGCCAAUAGGAGUUGCUGUAGAUCCAAUAUUAGCACUUGAGGCAAGGGCAAGUGAGAAAGGUUGAGGUGGGAGAUUCUUCUGCCUUGCAAUUUUCAACACAAAUUCAGUCAAAACCAUACAAGAUGUGUCAUUGGUGAAGAAAGCACUUGAAAUGGCAGAAAUUAAGCAGAUUCUGCAAAUUAAGUCCUUUGCGCCUUUACUCUUCCAUGUGAGCAACUUACCUAAGUACUUAAAUGCAUCUGCACUUUCAAGAUAUCCACUGACAACCAUUGUACCAAAGAGUAGACCAAGGAUUGAAAGAUCGAUUGCUUCAUAUGCUUGAUCAACAGUUAGGACUUGAAAAAUGACCAUCAGCAUACCUCCUAAAAGGGACCCUGCAGUCCUCCCGAUGGGUAGACAUGGAACAGCAGGAAAAACUGCCAGUACCCAGAAGAUUGCAAAGGCAAUUGAGCCUAGAAUCAGUUUUACAUAAGACGCCAUUGCCAUCUUUUAGCAUUCUUUAAAAGCCUUAUCUAACAGACUGCACAAGGCUCCAGGCCUUCAAGCUCGAAAUCUUGAUAAUUGAAACGAUAAAGAUUGUCUAAAAUACCUUAUGUUUCUGUCUUGGGAUCAGACUGCUGAUUUCGUUCUGCUUGGGAAAAGUAAUACUAGUAAGAACAACAACUACAGCUACUAUUUCUAGCAAGUACAACAAAAUUAGCUUUAUAUUUUAUCAGCAAGACUGUUACGAGAAAGCUGUUGACAGUAAAUUAAACUACAUUCCAUUCCCUGGAAAAAAGCUAGUUCAAUUAGCUUUUAGUUGAGAAUACUUUGCACUGCCAGAAUCCCACAUGUAUUUUGGCUGGCCUGUCUUCUCUCUUCUCUCUUCUGUUUUUUUAGAGUUCCAGAAUUUGUAAGAAACCCCACUUGCACCUUGCAAUUAUUGAGGAGGUACAGGGAGCAACCGCUGAUUCUUGGCUAGGUUGCCCCGGGUCAUGAUAUAUCCUGAUAUUAAGAUAUUUCAUAGGAUAUUUAAAAAUAGUAAAAAUUAAGAAAAAUGAUAAAAAUAGAUUAACGGCAAAACUAACAAAAAAUAUAGUAAAUAAAGUUAUACUUGUAAAAAUUUGAAUUUAAAAAUAAUAUAUCCAUGCAUCUAAUAAAUAAAGAAAACAAAUCUUCAUCUUUUUAAAUUUAAGUAUAUUUUCUUAUUAGCCACCCAAUACCAAAAAAUAAUACAUUUUCUCACUGAUGUUUAUAUUUAUUAGAACUAUCAACUUAUGUUUAAUCUGAUUUAUUUUCCUAAUACAAUAUAUUUUACACUCACUUUUACCUAUUUUACAAAUAAAAAUAUCAAAAUAAAAACCUAUUUAUGCUUUAAAAAAAAACCCUAUUUCAUGAAAAAUAUUAUAUUAUUUUACCUAUUCUUCUUUGUAGACAUGUUAUAAUUAACCAAUUUCUAAAAAUAAAAUAAAUUAGAAGGAACCAAAUUAAUACAUAAACUUACAGUAACUUGUCCCUUGGGGACAUCCGAUACAAUAGUAACUUGUCUGGAAAUAAAAACAUUUGACGGAUUAGAUUUAAGAAUAAGAUAUGCGGCUUCAACUGUGCCAUCGUCAUUUCAAUAUUUUCAAUGCGCUAUGCGUAAGAUCUACUCGGAUUUUUGAGUGGCUUCCGGGAUCUACACAUGUAUUAUUUAGGGAUCACUCACUCACCCUGUCUUGGGUUGGAAUAUUUUAUACUACUAUAUUCCCGAGUCACCCUAGCAAAGCCAUUUACUACUGCUAUUCUUUUUGUUCUUGUUUACAAAGAGCGUUACCAAAGACAAAAAGAAGAAAAAGAACAAAGAGAGUUAAAUUCAAUAAUUCAUGAUUAAAAAAGAUUAGACAAAUUAAACUAUUGAAUGGAUCUCGAUAAAUGAAGUCCAUGUUAUUUCUAUAUCGUGAAAGAAACGUUAGUAGUAAAUUUGGUCACAUAAAUUAUUGUUAAAGAUAUUAAUAGAUAGAGUAUUUAUUAUUAUUAAGAUAUUUUAUCUUGAAUUUUAUUAUUUGAUAGACUACUCGAAUGUUAUAAAUUUAUAAUCAAUUUUUACGUAUAUUAUUAUUAUUAUUAAAAAUUAAAAUUAAUUUUAUAAACAAAUAAAUUAAAUUUUAAAAUCAUAUUUAGAUUAUUGAUGAAUUUUAAUAAAUAUUUUCUAUUAUUUAUAAAAAAUUCGUAAAAAAUAAUUUAUUGUUAAAAAUAAUUAUUUACAAUUAAACUUAAAUAAUAAAUAUUUUAAAAUUACUAUUCAAAUCUUACCUUAACUGUGACUAACAUAGUCUAAUAAUAAUGUUAGUAUUCAAAUGAGGGUUGGGCUUCCUACCUAUUAGUCAUUAGACUCAAAGAAGAAGGGCUCAAGAUUGCAAUUCGUCGUUCGAAAUUGCGGGCCCAAGACUUACCAAUACUAAUCGAUAAUCACAGAACUUGAAGAAAACUGUAAAAUUGGCAUUGGGCAAAGCACACUCAAUUUGUGUCUGCGUGAGCAUGGAAUUUGAAGGGCUGUGUUUAUUUAGCUAGAUAUAUAUUCAUGGCUAAAAGGGAAAAAGAAAUUUGAUCAUGAUCAAUUUUUGCGCAGAAUCUAGCAUUAGCUGGCAAGUUGGAUGUUGUUUUCUAGUUUAUCAAGGCAAAUUACUUUAAGAAUUUUAUCAAUUUUAGCAUGACAUCAUGUAAAUGCAUAUGAUUAACAAGUAAUAUAGUGGUGAGGGAGUUAUAUCUACAAAGAAUUGUAUCUAAAUUUUUACUAAUUAUUAAAAUUCGGCACUCUAAUCUUAUCCAAGUAAUUUAAUUUUGAAAAUUGAUUAAAAUUGAAAUUAAAGUAACAAAGCUAAACUAAUGAAUUAACGUUAAGAAAUUUCUAGAAGUUCAAUAAAGUAGAACCUAGACUGUGGUACUCUACUUUUCACUUGGAUUUAAUUUCACUCAUUAUACUUAUAUUAAUGAGUUGGUUGCUAACCUAGAAUAUAAAUUUAUCUACAAUUCUCUGUUGAGAUAUUAUAAACAAACCUAUCUUAACUAAUUUUUCAUGUCUAUGUAAAUUAAUUAAGGUAAGUUCACUAAGUUUAUACCUUAAUCUUAGUUGCACAUGGUAUUUAGGUAUAUUUUUAUCCUAAAUAUUAAUCAAAUCACCCAUACUCUAAGCAAAGUAAACACAUGUUAUUCAAAUCCUUGAUGUAUUCUAAAUUUCCUAUGUCAAGUUGUAUUUAGAAAUCCAACUUAAUUUAAUUAUUGAUCAAACAAUUAGAAGCAAUAAACAUCGAUUUGAAAUAAACAACAGAUUACCCAUUAAUAUUAAGUAAAAGAAAAUUAAAAUAUCCAAACUAUAAGUAGAGAUUAACCACAAUCUUAGGAAUAGAAAUUCAAUUCAACAUAUUUAAUACAAAAUCUAAUAUUUUUUAAAAAAUAUUCAUUUUGCAAUAAAAAGUAGAGAGAGAUAGAACUAGUGAGAGAAAAAUGAGCUGAUGUAGAUGAUUGAAGCUCCCCCAAAAAUCCUUGAAUCCUCUCCUUCCUCUGUUUUUUAGAAAGUUGCCUCUCUUUUCUAGCUCCCAAAAAAACUUGAAAAGUCCCUCUUUUCAAUUUUAAAAAGGCCUAUUUUCACCACUCCAUGUAACCUUUCGAUUUAAAAGAUCAAAGAGUGUAAAAAUUUAUCAACUUGCGCGUCGGCAUUGCAACGUUGGAAGCACGACACUGCAGCGCCCAAGCUUUUGGCUUGGGAGCUUGCUAGUUGGCUAGGACAGUGCUGUACUUGCUGUUUCCAUGCUUUGUUCUUUCAAGUUGCUUGGAGCAAAACUACUGUGGUCAAGCUAGUUUUAAUGCAAUUUUGAUUAUGUUCUGAUAAAAAAUGGAUGAAGUGAUAAAAAUAAAAAUUGUAGUUAUUCCUCUUAGCUUUCUAAUGGUCUAAAAAUCACGUUAAUUGGACUUCUAUAACUUGAAUUAUGUUUAAAAUACCAUAACAUAUUAAGUGAAAUCUACACCUGAUUAAUUUGUAUAAUUUUUUGUCACUUGACGCAUUCUCUUUUGAAGAUCUUAAAAACAUAAAAACUAAAUCAAUCAUAGUUAAAAAUAGACAUUUUUAUCAUACAAAUAAAUUAAAAUAACUUGAAGUAAAUUAACUCAAUCAUAAGUUAACUAAUUAACGAAAAAAAAAAAAAAACAACUUACAAUUUUACUUAAACACAAAGAUUUAGUUAUUUUAUCACUUAAAAUAUGAUAAAAUAACUCUAUAUAAUAAAAUUUUCAUUGGAGAACAUAGUGACUUUUUUUUUCUUUUUGGCUAGAAGAAAGCCAUGACAAAUGCAACAGUUCAAGACUAAUAGCAUUAUUUCAUUUAACAUAAACCAAAACCAGUCGCUUUGAAACAAACAUUUGCUGCCAUGCCUAAUUGGGGAAACCUCGCAAAUCUCGAUCUUCUCUAUAAGAUGAGUGCCAUGUAUUCUUUUCUUUGUGUUUUUUCUUAUAAGCCUCCUUUUUAGGACAUUUAUUUAAUCAUCUAAAGAGUGUCAAACCGAUAGCAGUAACUAUAAGCGUUGAGGGAACUCCAAAUUUAAGGUGUUUCCAGAAGGACAAAGUGUAUCCAAGCUGUGGAGCACGACGAGCUUGCUCACACACUAUCAAGUUAGCAGCUGAUCCCAGUAGUGAAAGGUUCCCAGCCACAGUGCUGACCCAGGCUAACAUAAGCCAUGCUUUCUUCUCAUCAGAUGCAGAAAUUGCAGCAGCUGAUGCUGCCACUCGCCCUCCAAGCAACAGAACUGAAAAGUAUCAAACAUGUUGGUGUUAAGCAACUAGAAAGUAAUGUGACCUGGCACAUAAAAGGUGGUUGCAAAACUGAUUACUAUUUCAGGAGAAAAGAAAUGAAGAAACAAAGAUCUGUACUUUAAAGUUGCCAGUGUUAUCAGAUAUAUAUUCAUAGGAAAGAAACAUCAGCAUACCGGUCGGUACAUUUGAGGCCAAAUUGGAGAGGCCAAGUAUGACAAUGGCUAGAAUUGCUAUCCCUGAAACAUGAUUGAUCUUUGCAUAGGGUUCCAUCAAGUCCCAAAGAGUGCAUGGGAUUCCACUUUGGUUGAAGCCAUCGACUGUGAUAAACAUUCCGCAGAAGAAAAUUAAAAGCGAAUAGGACACCUGGUCACAGAAAAUAAUUGAGCUUAAUUAAUUAACUAUAUCUGGCCAAAAAAAUAACAAGUAAAACAUUUAAGUUCUUAUGAAACUAAUAAUGCUUUUCUUUUUCUCUUUUUUUUUUUCUAUUUCCAAUCUGAUUUUAUUGUUUAAAAACCUUUUCUAGGCAAGGCCGAGCAUCCUGAAAGUCAAGAACUAUAAGAGCAAGAGCAGCGGUAAUUGCAGUCCAGGACAUAUUAAGGCCCAUAAGCAGAGAAAUCAGCAUCCCCAUGGUAACAAAGUAAACACUGAAUUUCCAAAACCUCCUUUUCCACCUUCUGGGUAAGUUUUCCUUUUCUUCUGAAGAUUGCACAGAACAUACGUCUUGCAAGCUAUCCGUCAAUGCAAUAAUCUUUAAAGCCACAGGUUCCUCCUUCCCAUGGGAGUGGUCAUCCGUUGUGGCCUCCUUUGAUGCAUUUGAAUUCCUUGCAGAAUCAAUUGAACCACUAGGUACCCUCUGGAUUUCAUUCUGAUCAGCUGAAUUUCCUCGGUUUCUAAGGGUCUCAACAUGAGCUG
rnacentral:lncRNA from 1 species